GAACUGAAGAGUUUGAUCAUGGCUCAGAUUGAACGCUGGCGGCAGGCCUAACACAUGCAAGUCGAGCGGAUGAAGUGAGCUUGCUCACGGAUUUAGCGGCGGACGGGUGAGUAAUGCCUAGGAAUCUGCCUGGUAGUGGGGGAUAACGUUUCGAAAGGGACGCUAAUACCGCAUACGUCCUACGGGAGAAAGCAGGGGACCUUCGGGCCUUGCGCUAUCAGAUGAGCCUAGGUCGGAUUAGCUAGUUGGUGAGGUAAUGGCUCACCAAGGCGACGAUCCGUAACUGGUCUGAGAGGAUGAUCAGUCACACUGGAACUGAGACACGGUCCAGACUCCUACGGGAGGCAGCAGUGGGGAAUAUUGGACAAUGGGCGAAAGCCUGAUCCAGCCAUGCCGCGUGUGUGAAGAAGGUCUUCGGAUUGUAAAGCACUUUAAGUUGGGAGGAAGGGCAGUAAGCUAAUAUCUUGCUGUUUUGACGUUACCGACAGAAUAAGCACCGGCUAACUCUGUGCCAGCAGCCGCGGUAAUACAGAGGGUGCAAGCGUUAAUCGGAAUUACUGGGCGUAAAGCGCGCGUAGGUGGUUUGUUAAGUUGGAUGUGAAAGCCCCGGGCUCAACCUGGGAACUGCAUCCAAAACUGGCAAGCUAGAGUAUGGUAGAGGGUGGUGGAAUUUCCUGUGUAGCGGUGAAAUGCGUAGAUAUAGGAAGGAACACCAGUGGCGAAGGCGACCACCUGGACUGAUACUGACACUGAGGUGCGAAAGCGUGGGGAGCAAACAGGAUUAGAUACCCUGGUAGUCCACGCCGUAAACGAUGUCAACUAGCCGUUGGGGUCCUUGAGACUUUAGUGGCGCAGCUAACGCAUUAAGUUGACCGCCUGGGGAGUACGGCCGCAAGGUUAAAACUCAAAUGAAUUGACGGGGGC
rnacentral:rRNA from 2 species